GCUUCUUAGAAGGACAGGGGGUUACAACCCCACGAGAUUGAGCAAUAACAGGUCUGUGAUGCCCUUAGAUGUCCAAGGCUGCACGCGUGCUACACUGAAGACGUCAACAUGCGAUCCUAUCUCGGAGGAGUCUGGGGAACCCUCUGAAACGUCUUCGUGCUAGGGAUUGGGACUUGUAAUUAUUUCCCAUGAACGAGGAAUUCCUAGUAAGUGCGAGUCAACAUCUCGCGCUGAUUACGUCCCUGCCCUUUGUACUGAGCG
rnacentral:rRNA from 1 species